AAAGUCGUAACAAGGUUUCCGUAGGUGAACCUGCGGAAGGAUCAUUAAAAAAGGAUGCACCUCGCGUGCAUAACUCCUCUCAGCAGUCGGGUAAAACCGUCAGCUUGACUGAGUCCUUAACCCUUUGUGAACUUUAUAUCUUAUGCUUCGGCAGCGCGCCCCCACAAGGGCUGGUAAGGCUGCCGACAGCCCAUUUAAACUAUCUUAUUUAAAUCAUGAAGUCUGAUUACUGUUAAAUUUAAACAAGUUAAAACUUUCAGCAACGGAUCUCUUGGUUCUC
rnacentral:misc_RNA from 1 species